CCUACGGGCGGCAACAGUGGGGAAUAUUGGACAAUGGGGGGAACCCUGAUCCAGCCAUGCCGCGUGUGUGAAGAAGGCCCUCGGGUUGUAAAGCACUUUCAGUGAGGAAGAACGCCUGGUGGUUAAUACCCAUCAGGAAAGACAUCACUCACAGAAGAAGCACCGGCUAACUCCGUGCCAGCAGCCGCGGUAAUACGGAGGGUGCGAGCGUUAAUCGGAAUUACUGGGCGUAAAGCGCGCGUAGGUGGCUUGAUAAGCCGGUUGUGAAAGCCCCGGGCUCAACCUGGGAACGGCAUCCGGAACUGUCAAGCUAGAGUGCAGGAGAGGAAGGUAGAAUUCCCGGUGUAGCGGUGAAAUGCGUAGAGAUCGGGAGGAAUACCAGUGGCGAAGGCGGCCUUCUGGACUGACACUGACACUGAGGUGCGAAAGCGUGGGUAGCAAACAGGAUUAGAUACCCCGGUAGUC
rnacentral:rRNA from 1 species